GCGUGGUUUCCAGCUGGAGGCUGGGAGCGUUCGUGGCUUCCUCUUUUCUUGCUGACCCUUCGGAGCUCUGGGAAGUGGCUGCACCUUGGCGGCUCCCCAGAGCGCGCGGUGCUAAUCGUGGGUCGUCAGCCUGGGUGGCUGGGCCCGGCUUAGGGCAGGGUUUGGCAUUUCCAAUGGUAGGGGGCUCGGACCGUCCCUCCGCGGGACCCUCCCGUUGGGACAAGGCCGAUCGCCUGGGCGGUUGGAGCCGCUAUCCUGGCGCGAGACGGUGGACAAGUCCUAUAUUCAAGAGAAGAUAACUUUGAACAGUUUCGAAGGAUCUAAAACGUAUGUGUCUGCAGACAUCAAUGAGGAUGAAGAAUUAGUAGAAGAGAUUAAUAGAUCAAAAACGUUUGCUGGCUUUGCAGGUGGUGGGCCUGCCUGGGCAUCGGCGCGUUGGAGGAGACGCCCUGGGGGGCCUUAGCUGCCCUGAAGCGGUAGACAGGUGGCAACGUGGGGGCUCAGGAGUUGACAAACACAAGAAAGCAGCGCCGAAUUGCAGGUUUAUCCGCAGCUUUUAUUUUGAAGACAGUGCCACGAAACCUGCAAAUCCUGGUGUCCCAAAUAGUCAAUACCAAGUUGAAAACCAUCUGGGAGAGGAAAAGCGUUGUGCUUUAGACAGGCCGUCUGAGACUCGUGCAGACCGGCUUUUGAGAGCUGGACAGGUGGUGGAUAGAUCAGACUCCAUACACCCGAGGAGCCCCGCCAUGCAUAGUGAAGAAGCUAGAUAACAGUCGUUUCACAACUGGCCAGCCUCUGCCCACUUGACCCCGAGAGAGCUGGCCAGUGCUGGGCUGUACUACACAGGCACUGAUGACCAAGUGCAGUGCUUCUGUUGUGGCGGAAAACUGAAAAACUGGGAACCUGGUGAUCGUGCCUGGUCAGAACACAGGAGACAUUUUCCUAAUUGCUUCUUUAUUUUGGGCCACAACGUUAAUAUUCGAGGUGAAUCUGAUGUUGCGAGUUCUGAUAGGAAUUUCUCAAAUUCAACAAGUUCUCCAAGGAAUCCAUCCAUGACGGGUUAUGAAGCCCGGCUCAUUACUUUUGGGACAUGGAUGUACUCCGUUAACAAAGAGCAGCUUGCAAGAGCUGGAUUUUAUGCUAUAGGUCAAGAGGAUAAAGUACAGUGCUUUCACUGUGGAGGAGGGCUAGCCAACUGGAAGCCCAAGGAAGAUCCUUGGGAACAGCAUGCUAAAUGGUAUCCAGGUUGCAAAUAUCUGCUAGAAGAGAAGGGACAUGAAUAUAUAAACAACAUUCAUUUAACCCGUUCACUUGAGGGAGCUCUGGUACAAACUACCAAGAAAACACCAUCACUAACUAAAAGAAUCAGUGAUACCAUCUUCCCUAAUCCUAUGCUACAAGAAGCUAUACGAAUGGGAUUUGAUUUCAAGGACGUUAAGAAAAUAAUGGAGGAAAGAAUUCAAACAUCUGGGAGCAACUAUAAAACGCUUGAGGUUCUUGUUGCAGAUCUAGUGAGCGCUCAGAAAGACACUACAGAAAAUGAAUUGAAUCAGACUUCAUUGCAGAGAGAAAUCAGCCCUGAAGAGCCGCUAAGGCGUCUGCAAGAGGAGAAGCUUUGUAAAAUCUGCAUGGACAGACAUAUCGCUGUUGUUUUUAUUCCUUGUGGACAUCUGGUCACUUGUAAACAAUGUGCUGAAGCAGUUGACAGAUGUCCCAUGUGCAGCGCGGUUAUUGAUUUCAAGCAAAGAGUUUUUAUGUCUUAAUGUAACUCUACAGUGGGUGUGCUAUGUUCUUAUUACCCUGAUUAAAUGUGUGAUGUGACUCAA
ensembl:lncRNA BIRC8 baculoviral IAP repeat containing 8